UCCAAUAGCGUAUAUUAAAGUUGUUGCAGUUAAAAAGCUCGUAGUUGAAUUUCGGGGUUAGUAGGUUGGUCAUGCCACUGGUAUGCACUGGCCUCACUGAUUCCUCCUUCCUGAUGAGCCGUAAUGCCAUUAAUUUGGUGUUGCGGGGAAUUUGGACUGUUACUUUGAAAAAAUUAGAGUGUUUAAAGCAAGCUAACGCUUGAAUACAUUAGCAUGGAAUAAUGAAAUAGGACGUUCGAUCCUAUUUUGUUGGUUUCUAGGAUUGACGUAAUGAUUAAUAGGGAUAGUUGGGGGCAUUAGUAUUCAAUUGUCAGAGGUGAAAUUCUUGGAUUUAUUGAAGACUAACUACUGCGAAAGCAUUUGCCAAGGAUGUUUUCAUUAAUCAAGAACGAAUGUUAGGGGAUCGAAGACGAUCAGAUACCGUCGUAGUCUUAACCAUAAACUAUGCCGACUAGGGAUCGGAUGAUGUUAAUUUUUUAAUGACUCAUUCGGCGCCUUACGGGAAAC
rnacentral:rRNA from 1 species